rnacentral:tRNA from 1 species
GCGGAAUAGAGCAGCGGUAGCUCGUUGGACUUCGUAUCCAAAGAUCAGUGGUUCAAAUCCACUUUCUGCCCCA